CUUGACGUGCGGAAAUCAGACCCUAUAGCCAGGAAGGAUAUAGAGCAGGCAUGUGUUUAUUGGUGACGCGCGUACACCCUGGUGCAAGGGGGAUCGCUCCACCUAACUUGCACACUGUCAGGAGAAAUCGUGCUAUAGAUAUAAGUCAAACUAAUACAUAAUCAAUAGUUGACAAGAAUUCGGAUACAUAUUCAUUACAUUCCCGAGAGUCCAUUACCAUGCAGUCCCUCCCCCUCUUGCAUGUGUGUAGUAGGUCGGGAUGAUGAAGGCUCGUAGUCUUCCUCGCUGCAAACUUCUGACCCCGAAGGGGGGGACAUCCUUCAAACCGGUUUCAGCUUGCCCUGUAGCCAUCUGAUCACCUCCCUGCCAAAUGUUUUCCAGCUGCUCUCCAGUCCUUAUCCUUACGGCCUUCAUCCUCCUUGUUAUUCCAGACCUAGUGUCUGUGAAAGUGCUUGGAAUCCCUUGUUUCCUAACACUCUGUACAUAAACUAUCUCUCUUGGCUCCUUAUUUCUACUUUGUGAAGCUACUUUGUCUUUUCUUGCUGUGAGGCCCUUCCCUCUAUAACUGCAGGGUCCUGUUCUCACUCUUCAAUUCCCCCGAAGAAGAGCUGCUUUAACCAUUUUAGAUUUGGUAGCCAGCUAGUAAGCAAAUCCCAUAAAUCUCCUUCCCAGUUGGUGUCUUCCUGACUUGCCCUAUGCAGGACUUUUGUCUGUUCCCAACUUUUCCUUAAAUCUGUCUCGAUUCUUAAAUCCUUCUUGAUGUAAGCACAGCAACUCUGACUUAUUAUUGUACAUACCCCUCCUUCCUUGGCUGUUAAUAGGUCUAAUGCCAUCCUAUUCUGGAGCAGCACUUUGGAUAAAGGGAAUAUUGCUUCUUGGAUUGCUCGUAAUGCACCCAUUGUGGCAUUCUCUAUGAUUUCCAGAGUUGCAGAGAUAUUUACUAUAGCUUUUCCUAGCUGGGCAACUUCUAGAGCUGGGAUAAGAGCUUUCAGGAAGCUGUGGUAUUCCUUGUUCUAUAUAGCUAGGGGGUUGUAUGUACACUUAGUUUGAAUCCAAGGGGUCCUCAGGAGUCCCCCAGGGAUCUCCUCAUGCACCGUGGUCUGGGGUAAUAAGUAUCCUGUAGUGCAAGUCCCUGUCCAAUUUAAAGGUAAUGACUUUCGUGACUGGCUGUCUCCACAUAGCCACCAGAAUCCAUGAGUUAACUUACGUGGCCUGGCCGUAUUUUCCUGAUGAGUGAAUGAUGCUCCCAUCUCUACAAUUCCGAGUACGUUCUUAUCUGAGACCCAGUGUGACUCCUUAUCGGUUCUAGGAUCACACCCCUCACCAUGGUUCCACCUUCUAGCUUCACUGAUCCCUCAUACUGCCCCAGAAUUUCCAUAUUCCCCACUACAUCCUAUACCUGUCAAGUUCCGUCAUCCAACCCCCACCCCACCUUUACCAUCAGUUUUUCUGUCUACAAAGGUAGAUCUAGUACACUUAAUAACGAGUAAAUCAAACUUAGGUCCCUUUUGUGGCUGUCUUCUAUCCCAAACUUACACUUUCCGUGCUCUACCCAAUCUGGAAUGGUCCAAUUUAGUGUCACUAUCCCAUAAAAUGGCACCUUUCCCUCCCCUCUAGGGAGGGCAGUGCAAAUCCAACAAGAUUUGUUGAGAGCCUGGCCAAUUUUCUCAGUUAUUUUUAAGUAGCUCUUCUCUUGCCAAGCUGUGGCUACUGCUCCAAUCAUACUGACUAUUAUCAAACACUUGUACAUGCUUUCGCAUCCUGAUUUUCAGUGGCCCUCUCUCUUCUGCUGUUCACUGUGGUCCUGGUGCUUUCUUCAGGCGGGUAUGAUGUAUCCACGGUGUAAGUCCCUCUACCUUGGCCGUGGUACGGGUGGUCAGGAGAACUUGGUAGGGUCCUCCCCACUUUGCUUCCAGAGGUCAAUCUGAGAGAGAUUCAACAUAAACAUAGUCUCCUGGCAAUACAUCAUGCACCGGACCAUCUAGGCCUCGUGCCCUGGCACCGAAUACUGUUUGUUCAGUUUUCUUUAAUUGCUUCGCCAAGCUGACCAUAUAUUCACUCAACACCUUAUCCCCAACCUGCAUAGAGAUUGCCUUUUGGACAGUAUAAGGUCGCCCAUGAAGAAUCUCAUAUGGGAUUAAUCCUUCCUUGGUUUGGGGUUUAGUCUGAAUUCUCAGAAGUGCCAAAGGCAGUGCCUGCGGCCAGGGAAUCCCAGCCUCUUGGCCAAGUUUUACUACCUGUAGUUUGAUCAGGUGAUUCAUUUUUCCACCUGUCCGCUUGACUGCGGUCUGUAAGGUGUGUGCAAUUGCCAAUCAGUUCCCAAUAACGUGCUUGUUUGUUGGACCACCUUGGCAAAAAUGAGGGCCUCGAUCUGAUGAGAUUGCUACAGGAACCCCGAACCUUGGAAUUAAUUCAUGUAACAGCAUUCUCGUUACUUCCCGAGUCUUAUGAGUCCUACAGGGAAAUACCUCUGGCCAUCCCAAAAAGGUAUCAGUUAGU
ensembl:lncRNA